GCCGAGGUGGCAGAGCGGACUAAUCCAACGGUGUAUUUAUGCCGCGGAGUCUAAACGCGGCAGGCUCGAGACCUGUUUCUCCUAACGGAGUGCUUGGGUUCGAAUCCCAACCUCGGCG
rnacentral:tRNA from 2 species